rnacentral:rRNA from 1 species
UAGCUAGUUGGUGAGGUAAAGGCUUACCAAGGCGACGAUCUGUAGCGGGUCUGAGAGGAUGAUCCGCCACACUGGAACUGAGACACGGUCCAGACUCCUACGGGAGGCAGCAGUGGGGAAUUUUGGACAAUGGGGGCAACCCUGAUCCAGCCAUGCCGUUGAGUGAAGAAGGCCUUCGGGUUGUAAAGCUCUUUCGGCCGGGAAGAAAUCGCAUGGGCCAAUACCCUGUGUGGAUGACGGUACCGGAAUAAGAAGCACCGGCUAACUACGCGCCAGCAGCCGCGGUAAUACGUAGGGUGCGAGCGUUAAUCGGAAUUACUGGGCGUAAAGCGUGCGCAGGCGGUUUUGUAAGACAGGCGUGAAAUCCCCGGGCUUAACCUGGGAACUGCGUUUGUGACUGCAAGGCUAGAGUACGGCAGAGGGGGGUGGAAUUCCACGUGUAGCAGUGAAAUGCGUAGAGAUGUGGAGGAACACCAAUGGCGAAGGCAGCCCCCUGGGUCGAUACUGACGCUCAUGCACGAAAGCGUGGGUAGCAAACAGGAUUAGAUACCCUGGUAGUCCACGCCCUAAACUAUGUCAACUAGGUGUUGGGUGGGUAAAACCAUUUAGUACCGUAGCUAACGCGUGAAGUUGACCGCCUGGGGAGUACGGCCGCAAGGUUAAAACUCAAAGGAAUUGACGGGGACCCGCACAAGCGGUGGAUGAUGUGGAUUAAUUCGAUGCAACGCGAAAAACCUUACCUACCCUUGACAUGCCAGGAACUUGCCAGAGAUGGCUUGGUGCCCGAAAGGGAGCCUGGACACAGGUGCUGCAUGGCUGUCGUCAGCUCGUGUCGUGAGAUGUUGGGUUAAGUCCCGCAACGAGCGCAACCCUUGUCGUUAAUUGCCAUCAUUUAGUUGGGCACUUUAACGAGACUGCCGGUGACAAACCGGAGGAAGGUGGGGAUGACGUCAAGUCCUCAUGGCCCUUAUGGGUAGGGCUUCACACGUCAUACAAUGGUCGGUACAAAGGGUUGCCAAGCCGCGAGGCGGAGCCAAUCCCAGAAAGCCGAUCGUAGUCCGGAUUGCAGGCUGCAACUCGCCUGCAUGAAGUCGGAAUCGCUAGUAAUCGUGGAUCAGCAUGUCACGGUGAAUACGUUCCCGGGUCUUGUACACACCGCCCGUCACACCAUGGGAGCGGGUUCCGCCAGAAGUAGGUAGCCUAACCGCAAGGGGGGCGCUUACCACGGCGGGGUUCGUGACUGGGGUGAAGUCGUAACAAGGUAGCCGUAGGGGAACCUGCGGCUG